rnacentral:rRNA from 1 species
AUUGAACGCUGGCGGCAUGCCUUACACAUGCAAGUCGAACGGUAACAGGUUAAGCUGACGAGUGGCGAACGGGUGAGUAAUAUAUCGGAACGUGCCCAGUCGUGGGGGAUAACUGCUAGAAAGAUCAGCUAAUACCGCAUACGACCUGAGGGUGAAAGCGGGGGAGCGCAAGACCUCGCGCGAUUGGAGCGGCCGAUAUCAGAGUAGGUAGUUGGUGGGGUAAAGGCCCACCAAGCCAACGAUCUGUAGCUGGUCUGAGAGGACGACCAGCCACACUGGGACUGAGACACGGCCCAGACUCCUACGGGAGGCAGCAGUGGGGAAUUUUGGACAAUGGGCGCAAGCCUGAUCCAGCCAUGCCGCGUGCGGGAAGAAGGCCUUCGGGUUGUAAACCGCUUUUGUUAGGGAAGAAAAGGUUCUGGUUAAUACCUGGGACUCAUGACGGUACCUGAAGAGUAAGCACCGGCUAACUACGUGCCAGCAGCCGCGGUAA